rnacentral:pre_miRNA from 1 species
UCUUAUGGAUGAGCAAAGAAAGUGGUUUCUUAAGAUGGACUCUAUCCUAGUGAAGAUGCUGUGAA